rnacentral:lncRNA from 1 species
AAAACGAGAAGAUUACUAUCAUAUUCUUUCCAAUGGUGAGUCUUCUCUUGACAUAUCAUUAUCUCCACUGUCUCUAAUUGAGAAUUAUACUUCAAACACACACCAAGAUCAUAUAGGUAGUGCGCGUAGAUAUACUCAGUAAGUGGAUGUGCACAACCCUGUCUUAUGAUGACACGAGGUUGUAUGUCUUUAGACAUCUUGUAUGAUAGUGGCAAAACACCUUUCCAACAUUGGGU